GGGGGUGUAGCUCAGUGGUAGAGCGCAUGCCUGGUGUACACGAGGUCCUGGGUUCGAUCCCCAGUGCUUCCA
rfam:Camelus ferus unplaced genomic scaffold scaffold950, whole genome shotgun sequence.